rnacentral:lncRNA from 1 species
UCAAGAAGAACCGCAAAAAAUGGAAGUAUCCAAAGUAACAAAGCUAGGGAGCUCUCUCCAUGUACCCUCCGUCCUUGAACUGGCCAAGGAAAAGAUUGAUGCAGCCCCAUCCCGAUACAUACGUUCGGAUCAAGUACCUGUUCUUUCCAGCGCCAAUCCUGCAAUCGUAGUCCCAGUAAUUGAUCUGCAGUUGUUAUUUGAUGGAGAUUUAUUGGAAACGGAGCUAAAUAAAUUACACCAAGCGUGUAAAGAGUGGGGCUUCUUUCAGGUAUCUAAUAAUAUUUCGAAUUAGCUAUAUAGGAAGGAUUUUCUAAUCCAAAAAAAUUUAUCGGUUUUAAGAUAUCUCCCUGAGCUAUANGAAGAACGAUACGCACCCCCUUCCGUUAAAUUUCGUUAACUUCCAUUAACUUCCGCUAAAAUAUUCCCUCCGUCUCAAUUUACAUGUCCCUUUUACUUUUCCUGGAGUCAAAUUGAUUAAUUUUGACCAACUAUUAGAAAAUAUUUAUUUAUUAUUUUAGGAAAUAGAAAGUUAUAUAUUAAAAUAGACUAGAUUUACUUUUUGAUGGUAUUUUUUUUUAAUUUUUUGUUUAAUUAAGCUAUCCCCAAGUCAAAAUGAUUUUACAUAUCAAAUGAUUUUAAAUUUUUAGUGAUAUGUGUAUUAAAUACUUAAAAUAUACACUUUUUUAAAUAUAAAAAUAAAUAUUAUAUGAUUUAUUAUAAAUAUAUACACUUUUAUUAAACAAAAAAUUUGAUAUGUAAAAUCAUUUGAUAUUUAAAAUCAUUUUGACUUGGGGAUAACUUAAUUAAACAAAAAUUUAAUAAAAAUAUCACCAAAACGUAAAUCCAGUCUAUUUUAAUAUGUAACUUCCUAUUUCCUAGAAUAAUAGAUAAAUAUUUUCUAAUAGUUGGUCAAAAAUUAUUCAAUUUGACUCCUCGAAAAGCAAAAGGAACAAGUAAAUUGAGACCGGGGGAGUACUUUAACGGAAUUUAACGGAGGGGGUGGGUAUCGUUUUUAAAAUGUAAAGAUAGGGGGUGCGAGUUGAGUUUCUCAAAGUAUGGGUACAAUAUCGUUUUUGAAUGAUAGUUAAGGGGUGCGAUAUGCAAUUAUCUUUAUAAUUAAUGAUGAAAUUAGUUUAAAAAAAUUCAAAAUAUUUAAAGUCAAAAUAUAUAAAUAUAAUAAUGAUGAAUGGAUUUGGAUCUAUAGUUGGAAGACAUGGAAUAGGAUUUGGUUACUGUCCUAAAUUUGCAUCAUUUCACUACAAGAAAAGUGAUAUUUUCAGUCGAAAAUAGCCGCUUUUUUUGUAGUGUUUGAUGAUCCAAAUGUUGAUCUAUGAUGGGAGUUGACCUUAGGAUGUAAAUGUAAUCCAAUGGAGAUAUAUGUAAUUUGUUAUUUAGCCUCUCCAUACCAAUUUAGAUUAGCCUUGCUCAUUUCACAAAAUAUUAAAGAGUAUUAAAUGAUUGUUCCUUUUUCCAUUUCUGCCCAUAUUUGUGUGUUGACUAACUAUAAUAUUAGCUAGAUGGUGCAUUGAAAUGAUAACGAAGAAAGAGUAAGAAUGGAAGAUUGUUCAUAAAUUAACGUGCCUUAAAAUGAAAGAGGCUCAACUAUUUUGACAUUCAAUUUUUCUUUAAAAGGGUCAUCUAAUUUUGGAUGGAGGGAAGUAAAUAUUAAUCUCAUAAUCGAGAAUAAUAGAAUCCAAAAAAUUCUUUUAAGAUUGUGAUUUAAUGCACCUUCUUGGUGUAUAAUAACUCGCUAGCAUCACAUAUGCAUGCCUAUAUAUAUAGCUCGCACUCCACACAGGACACUUUAAAAAAGAACAACAAAGAAUACUAUCAUUACAUUUUGUUUUUCAUAGAAAAGGAUUUCUUAAGAUUAUAAUUUCAUAAUUAAACACCAAUUAAACAUAAUAGAUGAAAUCUAACAUCCAAACUCAUCCAAAUUAUUAAUAUAAAAUAUUAUAGAGUCCAUAAAAGAAUCCAAAAUAGAAUCAUGUAUAUAUAUAUUUUGCACGAUUAAUAUUAUAGAAUCCAAAACAUGAUUCUAUUCUAGAUUCUGUUCUGAAUUCUAUUCUGGAUUUUAUAUAAUAUUUCAUAUUAAUAAUUUGGAUGAGUUUGCAUGUUAGAUUUCAUAUAUUAUGUUUAAUUGGUCUUUAGUGAUGAAAUCAUAAUCUUAACAAAUUAUUUUUGAUAAAAAAUAAAAUUUUAUAAUAAUGUUCUUUAUUGUUAUUUUUUCGAAGUGUUAUAUAUGAAGUGCAACCUCUAUAUAUAUGUGUGUCUCUAUAUACAUAACACAGACUCAAGAAGAACCGCAAAAAAUGGAAGUAUCCAAAGUAACAAAGCUAGGGAGCUCUCUCCAUGUACCCUCCGUCCUUGAACUGGCCAAGGAAAAGAUUGAUGCAGCCCCAUCCCGAUACAUACGUUCGGAUCAAGUACCUGUUCUUUCCAGCGCCAAUCCUGCAAUCGUAGUCCCAGUAAUUGAUCUGCAGUUGUUAUUUGAUGGAGAUUUAUUGGAAACGGAGCUAAAUAAAUUAC